rnacentral:rRNA from 1 species
AGUCGAGCGAACAGACAAGGAGCUUGCUCCUUUGACGUUAGCGGCGGACGGGUGAGUAACACGUGGGUAACCUACCUAUAAGACUGGGAUAACUUCGGGAAACCGGAGCUAAUACCGGAUAAUAUUUCGAACCGCAUGGUUCGAUAGUGAAAGAUGGUUUUGCUAUCACUUAUAGAUGGACCCGCGCCGUAUUAGCUAGUUGGUAAGGUAACGGCUUACCAAGGCGACGAUACGUAGCCGACCUGAGAGGGUGAUCGGCCACACUGGAACUGAGACACGGUCCAGACUCCUACGGGAGGCAGCAGUAGGGAAUCUUCCGCAAUGGGCGAAAGCCUGACGGAGCAACGCCGCGUGAGUGAUGAAGGUCUUCGGAUCGUAAAACUCUGUUAUUAGGGAAGAACAUACGUGUAAGUAACUAUGCACGUCUUGACGGUACCUAAUCAGAAAGCCACGGCUAACUACGUGCCAGCAGCCGCGGUAAUACGUAGGUGGCAAGCGUUAUCCGGAAUUAUUGGGCGUAAAGCGCGCGUAGGCGGUUUUUUAAGUCUGAUGUGAAAGCCCACGGCUCAACCGUGGAGGGUCAUUGGAAACUGGAAAACUUGAGUGCAGAAGAGGAAAGUGGAAUUCCAUGUGUAGCGGUGAAAUGCGCAGAGAUAUGGAGGAACACCAGUGGCGAAGGCGACUUUCUGGUCUGUAACUGACGCUGAUGUGCGAAAGCGUGGGGAUCAAACAGGAUUAGAUACCCUGGUAGUCCACGCCGUAAACGAUGAGUGCUAAGUGUUAGGGGGUUUCCGCCCCUUAGUGCUGCAGCUAACGCAUUAAGCACUCCGCCUGGGGAGUACGACCGCAAGGUUGAAACUCAAAGGAAUUGACGGGGACCCGCACAAGCGGUGGAGCAUGUGGUUUAAUUCGAAGCAACGCGAAGAACCUUACCAAAUCUUGACAUCCUUUGACAACUCUAGAGAUAGAGCCUUCCCCUUCGGGGGACAAAGUGACAGGUGGUGCAUGGUUGUCGUCAGCUCGUGUCGUGAGAUGUUGGGUUAAGUCCCGCAACGAGCGCAACCCUUAAGCUUAGUUGCCAUCAUUAAGUUGGGCACUCUAAGUUGACUGCCGGUGACAAACCGGAGGAAGGUGGGGAUGACGUCAAAUCAUCAUGCCCCUUAUGAUUUGGGCUACACACGUGCUACAAUGGACAAUACAAAGGGCAGCGAAACCGCGAGGUCAAGCAAAUCCCAUAAAGUUGUUCUCAGUUCGGAUUGUAGUCUGCAACUCGACUACAUGAAGCUGGAAUCGCUAGUAAUCGUAGAUCAGCAUGCUACGGUGAAUACGUUCCCGGGUCUUGUACACACCGCCCGUCACACCACGAGAGUUUGUAACACCCGAAGCCGGUGGAGUAACCAUUGGAGCUAGC